GCGUUGUUCGGAAUUACUGGGCGUAAGGGGCUCGUAGGCGGCCAACUCAGUCGGAUGUGAAAUCCCCAGGCUCAACUUGGGAACUGCAUCCGAUACUGGAUGGCUUGAAUUCGGGAGAGGGAUGCAGAAUUCCAGGUGUAGCGGUGAAAUGCGUAGAUAUCUGGAGGAAUACCGGUGGCGAAGGCGGCAUCCUGGACCGACAUUGACGCUGAGGAGCGAAAGCUAGGGGAGCAAACGGG
rnacentral:rRNA from 1 species